rnacentral:tRNA from 1 species
GGCGCGGUGGCAGAGUGGCUAUGCAGCAGGAUUGCAAAUCCGCAUAGGUUGGUUCGAUUCCAGCCCGCGCCUCCA